ensembl:lncRNA
UAGAUCUUGAGCCAAUCAAUUCUCUGCUUUUAGGUCACGACCACUUAUCCCAGAAUUACCUGGGGUGAUUUGAGAAUGCAAAUUCCUGGGUUUUAGGCUGUUUGAGAUGGAGCCCAGGAAUCUGAGAUUCUCACAGACAUCCAGAAUCAGUGCCUUAGUCUAGACGCUAAAAUGAUCCCACGGGCCUGCUUCAGCCCUCAGGAUUUCUCCAGAAAGUGCAGUCCUCAGUGGUCUCAAGAAUACAACUUCUAGUUACCCAGCAGCAAGGUCCUGG